GCUACCGUGGAUGAGUGGUUAGUCCUCAGUCUGCAAAACUCGAGUACGCGGGUUCGAUCCCUGCCGGUAGCUCAA
rnacentral:tRNA from 1 species